GGGAGCUCCCCUGUGUAUAGUGAAUGAUUGUCGUUGAGUGACAACCUCCCUAAGUAUUAGGUGCCUAACCUGUAAAAUGGGGGUAGUAAUGGUAUUUAACCGGAAGGUGAAAAGCCGUGAAAUGUAAUUUCUCUCUGCUGCAUGGCAAAACUGUCUUCACAUAGACAACUGCGUCCCUCCAAGACCUACGCAAACUGAAUUUUAGCUCAUGCCUGUGUGUGCCUUCAAGGCUGAUCUCAAACACCUAGACUCAAACCAUCUUUUUGGUCUUUUGGUUACUACGCUCUCAAAGGAUAUGAAUCAAUUGAGAGACACAGUUUAAAGAGAAAUUUAGCAAAGUAAACACGCCAAAGAGAGGAGUGGAUUUUUUUUUAAAAGAUAUCUUUGUUGGGGAUUUAUUUUUUUUUCUUAAUGAAAAGGAGGACUACUGAUUUCACAGAUGCCUGAAAAAAAAAGCAAGACAGUUUCAUCGUGAAGAAUCCUUGCACAUAGAACGCAUGUCCUGGAACUCAUGUCCAAAUUUCUGUUAAUAGACUGCAUACUUGUUUGUUGUUGCUUUUGAGACAGAGUCUCAAUCUGUAGCUCAGGCUGGCCUGGGACUUGUAUUCCCCAUGCUUCCAACUUUAAGUGCUGGAUGACAAGUGCAUACUGGUGCUUUGGCCUGCAGAUUUCAUAUCUAAAAACAAGCCAAGAUGGCAUUAUCAGCAGUUGGUGAGAUGUGGCCCUCUUAGAGGGAUCUUGCUCUCUCCUCUGUAUGUUGGCUGCUGCUUUAAUUUUUUACAUUUACUUAUUUGAUGUUUAUGAGUGGUUUGCCUGCAUGUAUAUAUGUGCACCAUGUGCGUGCCUGGUGUCCUUGGAGGUCAGGACAGCAUUGGAUCCCCUGGAACAGGAGUUAUAGAUAGUCCUGAGCCACUAUGAAGAUGCUGGAAACUGAGCCCAGGUCCUUUGCAAGAAUAGCGAGUGCUUUUAACCAGUAAAACAUCUUUCCAGCCCCUUCUACAUGGCACUUCUAACAAGUUGGGACUGUGUUCCUUGGCAUGGAGGGGGGCUCUCAGUUUCUCUAGCCACGAAAUUGUGGUCCAAGUAACUAUUAAUACAUCAUUUUUAUGGAUGCAGAGAUAGACAUGAGAGGUGCUUAGCAAGUGACAGAGCUCAGAGAUAGCCAGGAUGACUGAUGUCAAACACACCAGUUUGACUGUGUAACAAGGUCUUUGCUGUUGUUUGUUCUGGGUUGAGGCAGUAUAAGGUGCUGAAAUACUUUUUAUUGCCAGCGGUAGAUGUACAAUAUGGCUUCUUAAAUAUUACCAAGAGACAAUGGUCCAGAUCUGGGAUGCUGUGAAGCGGGGAUGAGGUCGGCUCCCAGGAAUCCAUGCAACCUGCAGAUCAGUCAGAAUGUUUAGCCUUUGGCCUCUUCCCUUCUACAGCUUGCUGUUGUAGUGGCUAUUCCUGGUUGUCAACUUGACAAUAUUUGAAAUGAACUACAAUCCGGAAUUGGAAGGCUCACCAGUGACCCUUAUCUGGAGGCUUGGAGAUCCUUAUCUGGAUCUUGGUUUGAAGAUCUUGAGCCAUAGUGGCUAUGGAUUCCAGAAGAUUGAAUCUCCGAGUUUAAGGAACACACCUUUAAUCUGGGCUACGCCUUUCAUCUGGGAUUAAAGGUGUGGUGGAACACACCUUUAAUCUGGGCUACACCUUCUGCUGGAGACAAUAUAAGGACAUUGGAAGAAGGGAGUCUAGCUCUUGCUAUUGCUCCUUCGCCUGCUUGCUUCGUGAGACUGAGUAACUGCUAGAUCCUUGGACUUCCAUUCACAGCUGCGACUGAACCAUUGUUGGGAAUUGGGCUGCCGACUAAAAUGAAGGGACACCAUUUCAAAACGGGCUGUUCAAAUGAGUCAUGAGAUAUUUAUAGCUCCACAGGGUGUCUCACCAACACUGCACUCUCGUGUGGCAGAACCAGAAAGUGCAGCAGCAGGAGAAUAUUCAACAAAUGAAUAUUGAAAUAUCAUAUGCCGUGUCUGUCACAUGGAUGAAAUCUGAUGAUACUCAACGACGAGGAGAAGUCUAGGCAAACAGCAUCCUGCAGGGAUGAGGCCAAUGAUGGCUAUUCUUCCACCAGUUUCUUCCAUUGCUGUAGAUCAUCCUGGGCUCCAACUAAUUGGGUAACACAUACCACACCCAUCAAUCCCAAGAAGAGUGAAGGCUUUGUGCCCUGUGGUCUUCAAGUGCUUUAACGUCCAUGGCUGGGUCUUCAACUCUGCCUGCCUCCCUCUCUCCUCCUCUCUCUUCCUCUCUCCUCUCCCCCUCCCCCUCCCUCUUCUUCUUCCUCUUCCUCCCUCUCCCUCUUCCCUUUCCCUGCAACUACAUAGUGAGAAAGCAAGCAAUUUCAAUGGGAAAACUACUCCUAGAUGUAGCUACAGCCCAGCCUACCUGAGCUCUCAGCUGGCAGACAUCACCACCACCACCACCACCAUCUCAUGAGACUUUGGAAAUUUGUAAAUGAAUGACCAUCCAGGUGUCUGCAGCCCCACUCUCCAAGAGAAGAGUGAAGCUGAAUGGGGUGAGCAAAUGCAUUGUUAUGAAAAACUGCCAAGCCAUGGGCAGUUUGUUACCAGCACCAGAUGACUGCAACAGAGGCUGUACAGCCAGACUCCUGUCUUCAAAACUGGCCUGCAGGUGACCCCAUGUAUAUGAGAACCAGGGAGAGGAUUCGAAGACAAUAGAUCCCCCAUGGGGAGAGUUCAGACUGUAAUAUUUUGACCCUGUGUUUUGUACGUUGAACCUAGUAGGUACUUAAUACAUUUAUAUUUUGAGUGAAACAAAGAAGCCACUUGCAAUGACAAAUGGUACCCAAGUAGUAGAUGUUAGCAAGAAUAAAUCACAGAUAUGGGUGGAUUGAUGGCACUAAGGCUUCACUGGGUUCAAAGCCUUGAUAAGUGGGUGUUGCAGGUUCAGAUCUGAGCUAUUUUGCUCUGUUUAAUACCAAACACAACCAGGAGAUAGCUUAAUAGUAUAGUAUAGUAUAGUAUAGUAUAGUAUGGUAUGGUAUGGUAUGGUAUAUCUAUAUGUGGGAGUGGGGGUGGAGAUAGGUUUAAAAGCUGGAUGUGGAAGUUUUCAGAGAGAAUGCUGUCUUCUUGUAACAGAACAGGACCUUAGCUGUUGUGACAACCCCAGAAUGGGCAUUGGAUACACAGGGCAGGGUGGGAGGGUGGAGAAAGAUCAGAGAGACACUUCUGGUGGCCAGCUAACUAAACAGCUGAACCUUCAUAACAAAGAUGGAAAAGCAUAC